GGGAGCUUAGAUGUGGAAGCUCUUUGGAAACCAAGAAACACUCUGAAAAUGAAAAGGGUGGAAGAGUAAACUGUUCCUGUUUCUCCAUCUUGACAGGAAGCAGAAGUUCUCCUUAGCUGAUUUUUCUUCUUGCCUUAUACUGGGUUCUUUAACACCAGAACAAAAAUAAAUAAAUAAAAGAAUCUUCCAGAAAUUCAUGAAGAGACUUCAGGUCAGGAAAGCCUGAACUUUCUCAUCCAACACCCGUUCAAGUCGGAGGAUGCUGAUUAAUUCAUGAUGGAAAGGUAUCAAUUUCACAGCCCAGACCUCUACAUUCUUGAAAUGCUCUUCUCAUGGGAGACAUUAAAUAAGCUUUGAAUUAACUGAAUGUACAGGGUGUACCAUGAACAAUUCUGACAUGUGAUUUAAUCUAUGUGGGACUACAUUUUAAAUACAUUUGGGAAGGAUUGAACAAUGAAGUGGAGCCCAUCAAUAUUGGUACUGAAAAUGAGACAUGCCAUGACACCCAGGAUGCAGCUGUAGGAACACCACUGGGUCCCUGGAUGUCAUGUAAGCCCUUAAGUAAAAGUGCCAUCAAAUGAUUUCUCAGAAAUUAUAAAGAAACAAAAGGACCAUAAACAAGAUAAGGUGGCAUGAGGAAACAUUACAAGUACCUUUCAGAGCUGACUGGCAAAGAAACUCCUGAGGUGACGGUUCUACCCCAAUAUUACUUCUUCGAAGAGCAACCUAACUGGACUUAUCUUCCUCAGUUCUCUGUGAUGAACUUUUGUAGAGCCAUACGAAAGGAGGUUUUUAGCUCUCACCUGUGGUCUUUCUUCAUCAUGCACCUCCUAGAUUCAAAAGUUCAGCAGGGACAUGUCAAGCUAUA
rnacentral:lncRNA from 10 species